GGCAAGGUGGCGGAGUGGUUAACGCGCCAGCCUCGAAUUCUGACGGCUAACAUAUACAAAACUAGUGUUCAAAUCACACCCUUGUCG
rnacentral:tRNA from 1 species